GACGAACGCUGGCGGCGUGCCUAAUACAUGCAAGUAGAACGCACAGUUUAUACCGUAGCUUGCUCCACCAUAGACUGUGAGUUGCGAACGGGUGAGACACGCGUAGCUAACCUGCCUGGUAGCGGGGGAUAAGUAUUGGAAACGAUAGCUAAUACCGCAUAAUAUUGAUUAUUGCAUGAAAAUUAAUUGAAAGGUGCAAUUGCACCACUACUAGAUGAACCUGCGUUGUAUUAGCUAGUAGGUGAGGUAACGGCUCACCUAGGCGACGAGACAGAGCCGACCUGGGAGGGUGGUCGGCCACCCUGGGACUGGGACCCGGCCCCGACCUCUUCGGGAGGCAGCAGUAGGGAAACUUCGGCCAUGGGCGGAAAGCUUACCGCACCACGCCGCGGGAGUGCAGAAAGUUUUCGGGUCGGAAAGCUCUGUUUUAAGGGAAGAACGGGCGUGAGGGUGGAAAGUUCACACUGUGACGGUAUCUUACCAGAAAGCGACGGCUAACUACGUG
rnacentral:rRNA from 1 species